GUGCCAGCAGCCGCGGUAAUACCGGCAGCCCGAGUGAUGGCCGAUCUUAUUGGGCCUAAAGCGUCCGUAGCUGGCCGCACAAGUCCAUCGGAAAAUCCACCCGCCCAACGGGUGGGCGUCCGGUGGAAACUGUGUGGCUUGGGACCGGAAGGCGCGACGGGUACGCCCGGGGUAGGAGUGAAAUCCCGUAAUCCUGGACGGACCGCCGAUGGCGAAAGCACGUCGCGAGGACGGAUCCGACAGUGAGGGACGAAAGCCAGGGUCUCGAACCGGAUUAGAUACCCCCGUAGUCC
rnacentral:rRNA from 1 species